CCUACGGGAGGCAGCAGUGGGGAAUAUUGGGCAAUGGGCGCAAGCCUGACCCAGCAACGCCGCGUGAAGGAAGAAGGCUUUCGGGUUGUAAACUUCUUUUCUCAGGGACGAAGCAAGUGACGGUACCUGAGGAAUAAGCCACGGCUAACUACGUGCCAGUAGUCGCGGUAAUACGUAGGUGGCAAGCGUUAUCCGGAUUUACUGGGUGUAAAGGGCGUGUAGGCGGGACUGCAAGUCAGAUGUGAAAACCACGGGCUCAACCUGUGGCCUGCAUUUGAAACUGUAGUUCUUGAGUACUGGGGAGGCAGACGGAAUGCCUAGUGUAGCGGUGAAAUGCGUAGAUAUUAGGAGGAACACCAGUGGCGAAGGCAGUCUGCUGGACAGCAACUGACGCUGAGGCGCGAAAGCGUGGGGAGCAAACAGGAUUAGAUACCCCGGUAGUC
rnacentral:rRNA from 1 species